rnacentral:sRNA from 1 species
CAGCUUGGGUUAUGAUAUUGGCAACGACCCCCAGGUACUCGCCUCCUGCAUGGAGCACGCUCAGGGGUGGCAUCUGGGGCGAGAAAUAAUGCGUUUUUCCUUUUUCUCUUCUCUCUGUCUGGAUCUCCUGUCCCCCUCCUGUGGGCCAUGGGGCUCGUCCUCUCCUGCUGUCUCUGUCUGCCCCAUCACUGGUCCACCCUCUGCCCUCUGCUGUCUUUUGUGGCAACCUGCUGGGUGCCCGCUGUCUUCCGUCCUCGCCGCUCUUCAUCCCAUGGGUGGAUUUUUGCAUCUCCCUGCUCUGUCUUCCUCCUGUCUUUGGACAUUUCCACCGAUGUGUGUUCGCAUCUUCUCCUAUGUUCCUUUACCCAUCCUGACCCCCAAAACCAUAAAUCUCAUCCCCAUUCUGGCCAUCUGUUCCUGUCCUGGCCCUGGGCCGGCCCUUCCUCUUCCUGCCUUCCCGACCCGCCUUGUGUCUUGGUACCACUGCCCCCCACAGAAGAAGACAGGCAUGAUGGACACGGAUGAUUUCCGCGCCUGCCUGAUCUCCAUGGGUUACAACAUGGUAACGUAAACCCCACCCUCUGUCUGCCCUGGUGAGAAGGCAGCCAGUUGGCAGGAGCAGCCAAGUCCCAGGAGUGGCAGGCUGGAGGCCCUCAGGCUAAGGGCUGCCCUCCCUGGAGGAGCCCCAAGGCCCAUGUCCUUGGGGAAGAUGGCUCCCUGAAAGCCGGCCCGGCCACGGGCCUGUGUGUAUCCGGGAGGCCUGGCCUCCUCGCCUCAAUCUCUGUGCCACUUCAUCUUCUGGUACUUCUCACUCCCACUGUGGACAGCUGGGCUGACCCUGAGGCUGGCAGGAAGGACUGGUGGUGUGGGACAUCCCAGGUUUCGGGUUGGCAUGCGUCACCUCACAUGGAGCAUGGAAACUGAGACUUCCAUCUCUGUCCUGGCAGUGGCUCUGGUCGGGCCUGCCGCCCCUCUGCAUUGUCACAGGCCAUCCCCCACCCCCCAACCUUCCUAGUCUAUCCCCCUCGCACAGACAUCCUGAACAGGGCAGUCAGGUGACUCCUGAGUCAUGGUGCCAAGUGCAGGGCCCACAGGCUGCCCAGCACGGGGCAUGGGCAUGGGGCUAGGAGCAGUGAACCUGGGAGUAAAUCCCAGCCCUGCCGUCAUUAGUGUGUUGCCUCAGGUGAAGUGGGGGAACCCUACAGGACUGUUACAAGGAUUAAAUGAAGGAGUUUAAGUGUGUGCAUGUAUCUGGCAUGUAGAAGAUAUAGUGUGGUGGGGAGAGAACAGAUUCUAGAACCAGACUGCCUGAGUUCAAAUUCUGCUGCUUCCUGGCUGUGUGACCCUGGGCAAGUCACUUAGCCUGUCUGGGCUUCAGAUUUCUCAUCUAUACAAUGAAGAUAAUAAAAUACCUAUCUUUAUGGUUGUAGUGAGGAUUAAAUGAAUUGAAAUAAAGCUUUUAGAUUAAUACUUGAUAUGCUACAUAGGUGUCAGCCAUUGUUAAUCAUUGUUGUUAUUAUAGUUAUUAUCAACAUGAUUAUUUGCUCUAAGAGGAACCCAGGCAUCUGCAGGGUGUGGGAAACCCUGAGCUGGGUCUCCCUUCUUGGGUAUUGUGUCCCCAUCAUACUCUUAGGACAACCCAGGUUAGGUCAGGGGGAUGUGCCCUCCUCUUCCAGCCACAGGCUGCUCUGAGCCCCUAGGGUCUUCAGUCCAUAUGAGAUAUUCCCAGCAGGCCAUGGGCUGACAGGCCUGGGGUUGGCUGUUCCCUCCAGGGAGAAGCAGAAUUUGCCCGCAUCAUGAGCAUUGUGGACCCCAACCGCCUGGGGGUAGUGACAUUCCAGGCCUUCAUUGACUUCAUGUCCCGCGAGACAGCCGACACAGAUACAGCAGACCAAGUCAUGGCUUCCUUCAAGAUCCUGGCCGGGGACAAGAACUACAUUACCAUGGACGAGCUGCGCCGCGAGCUGCCGCCCGACCAGGCUGAGUACUGCAUCGCGCGGAUGGCCCCCUACACCGGCCCCGACUCCGUGCCAGGUGCUCUGGACUACAUGUCCUUCUCCACGGCGCUGUACGGCGAGAGUGACCUCUAAUCCACCCCGCCCGGCCGCCCUCGUCUUGUGCGCCGUGCCCUGCCUUGCACCUCCGCCGUCGCCCAUCUCCUGCCUGGGUUCGGUUUCAGCUCCCAGCCUCCACCCGGGUGAGCUGGGGCCCACGUGGCAUCGAGCCUCCCUGCCCGCGAAGUGACAGUUUACAAAAUUAUUUUCUGCAAAAAAGAAAAAAAAAGUUACGUUAAAAACCAAAAAACUACAUAUUUUAUUAUAGAAAAAGUAUUUUUUUCUCCACCAGACAAAUGGAAAAAAAGAGGAAAGAUUAACUAUUUGCACCGAAAUGUCUUGUUUUGUUGUGACAUAGGAAAAUAACCAAGCACAAAGUUAUAUUCCAUCCUUUUUACUGAUUUUUUUUUUCUUCUAUCUGUUCCAUCUGCUGUAUUCAUUUCUCCAAUCUCAUGUCCACUUUGGUGUGGGAGUCGGGGUAGGGGGUACUCUUGUCAAAAGGCACAUUGGUGCAUGUGUGUUUGCUAGCUCACUUGUCCAUGAAAAUAUUUUAUGAUAUUAAAGAAAAUCUUUUG